UCAUCCCCGCGCAACUGGCGCAACGUGGACAACGCUCCACCAAGGUGAACUGACACCGGGAAGCGCGGGGAUCGGUGCGGCGCACGCUGCACCGAGCCGAGCGCCUGGGCAUCCCGA
rnacentral:ncRNA from 2 species